rnacentral:lncRNA from 1 species
GGAGACUGAUGUGUUCCUGUCCUGUCUUUUCAUAAUACUAUUGCAGGUAUGGUUCUAUUGUCUAAGAAUUAAGAUUAUACAUUCUUUGUAUUAAGGACUGGUUAUUAUUUUAUACUAUACAUUAUGGCUUUAUGUAUGAGUGUGAUUGUGAGAGUCUGAGAAAACACUGAGAGAGAAAGAACAACUUGUCAGGUGGUGCAUUGGAGACUGAUGUGUUCCUGUCCUGUCUUUUCAUAAUACUAUUGCAGAUCGACAUAAAAGCCUAAAAGACAGCCGUGGUGUUGCUCUUCAUUUCUUGGUUCUCCUGUGGUGCAUAAGAAACCCGCUACAGAUUGGUGCCGUGACCCGGAUCAACAGAUCAGCUGCAGCAGAUCGCCGGGGGACCCCUAAACAGAACUGGAUCGACAUCACACGUUUAAAACAUUUGAGGGCAAGAACAACUUGUCAGGUGGUGCAUUGGAGACUGAUGUGUUCCUGUCCUGUCUUUUCAUAAUACUAUUGCAGAUCGACAUAAAAGCCUAAAAGACAGCCGUGGUGUUGCUCUUCAUUUCUUGGUUCUCCUGUGGUGCAUAAGAAACCCGCUACAUAUGUAAGUGAACCAUAAAACCACAUUUCCACAGUGGAUAUGCCUGUAGGUAAAAGUGACGCAGCAUUACGUCAUACUUCCAGUGUCAGUCCUCUAUAAUAUUUUGAAUGGGCUUGGCAGUGAUGUAAUCAAAUUUGUGAAAACGUGGUCUAUGCAUCACACCAAUAGGGUUAACCCACCAAUUUUAACGCCACUCAAAUAAUGUAGCGAGGAUCGCGACACUGGUCGGAAUUGUAAUGUACCUCAUAGAGCGAGUAUCGCUACAAUUGUCACGGAUUGCCCGGUACUGCUGCUCAUUCGUUUCACCAGCUCCAGAGGUCUACGUCACCGGCUUUCUAGGCAUCACUGAACUGGAUCAUUACCACCAACCCGAGACUGUCUUGUCUCAUUAUGCACCCCUGGUUCCCAUUCCCCCUGAUUACUAUGUGCAUGUAAGUGCCCUCUGUUCCCCAUUGUCCUGGUUGAUUAUUGUUCCACGUCCGUUGGUCUUGUGAGUACCUGUGCUCUGUUGUAUCGGCUUGCGUGUUACCAUGUUAGUGUGCACUUGUUAUUAUGGGUCUCAUCCCGUGUAUUGUUAUUACGGGUCUCGUCCCGUGUAUUGUUAUUACGGGUCUCGUCCCGUGUAUUGUUAUUACGGGUCUCGUCCCGUGUAUUGUUAUUACGGGUCUCGUCCCGUGUAUUGUUAUUACGGGUCUCAUCCCGUGUAUUGUUAUUACGGGUCUCGUCCCGUGUAUUGUUACUACGGGUCUCGUCCCGUGUAUUGUUAUUACGGGUCUCGUCCCUUGAAUUUAUUAGAGGUUUACACCUGGCGCUUUGCUUGGGUUACCUGUGUUAAAUAUAUACAGUUGAAGUCGGAAGUUAACAUACACUUAGGUUGGAGUCAUUAAAACUUGUUUUUCAACCACUCCACAAAUUUCUUGUUAACAAACUAUAGUUUUGGCAAGUCGGUUAGGACAUCUACUUUGUGCAUGACACAAGUCAUUUUUCCAACAAUUGUUUACAGACAAAUUAUUUCACUUAUAAUUCACUGUAUCACAAAUCCAGUGGGUCAGAAGUUUACAUUCACUAAGUUGACUGUGCCUUUAAACAGCUUGGAAAAUUCCAGAAAAUUAUGUCAUGGUUCUAGAAGUUUCUGAUAGGGUAAUUGACAUCAUUUGAGUCAAUUGGAGGUGUACCUGUGGAUGUAUUUCAAGGCCUACCUUCCAACUCACUGCCUCUUUGCUUGACAUCAUGGGAAAAUCAAAAGAAAUCAGCAGAGACUUCAGAAAAAAGAUUGUAGACCUCCACAAAUCUGGUUCA